AAUCAUGCCAAACACUGAUUAUUGGAAUUUACGGAAGAACAAACUCAUGGAGAGAAUUGCUUCUUUUUACUUCACGGUGGUUCAAAAGAUAUAUGCACCUUCCAAGAUCUCCUGGGUGAUGAACAUGACAAAUACCGGCGGGUCUAUUUCUCUUACUGCCUACAAUACCCACAGAGUCUAUUCUCACCAUGCUGGCACAGUUGAUAAUACCAGGCGAGACUUCAGGAUGAAGAGAGCAGCUGGCAAUUCUUCCCAAGACAACCCUGUAAAAUGGAUUCGGACAGACGUUAGAGAAGUG